rnacentral:rRNA from 1 species
GAUGAACGCUAGCUACAGGCUUAACACAUGCAAGUCGAGGGGAAACGACAUCGAAAGCUUGCUUUUGGUGGGCGUCGACCGGCGCACGGGUGAGUAACGCGUAUCCAACCUGCCCAUCACUUGGGAAUAACCUUGCGAAAGUAAGACUAAUACCCAAUGAUAUCCCACGAAGGCAUCCGAAUGGGAUUAAAGAUUUAUCGGUGAUGGAUGGGGAUGCGUCUGAUUAGCUUGUUGGCGGGGUAACGGCCCACCAAGGCAACGAUCAGUAGGGGUUCUGAGAGGAAGGUCCCCCCACAUUGGAACUGAGACACGGUCCAAACUCCUACGGGAGGCAGCAGUGAGGAAUAUUGGUCAAUGGACGGGAGUCUGAACCAGCCAAGUAGCGUGCAGGACGACGGCCCUAUGGGUUGUAAACUGCUUUUAUAAGGGAAUAAAGUGAGUCUCGUGAGACUUUUUGCAUGUACCUUAUGAAUAAGGACCGGCUAAUUCCGUG